GACGAACGCUGGCGGCGUGCUUAACACAUGCAAGUCGAACGGAAAGGCCCUGCUUUUGUGGGGUGCUCGAGUGGCGAACGGGUGAGUAACACGUGAGUAACCUGCCCUUGACUUUGGGAUAACUUCAGGAAACUGGGGCUAAUACCGGAUAGGAGCUCCUGCUGCAUGGUGGGGGUUGGAAAGUUUCGGCGGUUGGGGAUGGACUCGCGGCUUAUCAGCUUGUUGGUGGGGUAGUGGCUUACCAAGGCUUUGACGGGUAGCCGGCCUGAGAGGGUGACCGGCCACAUUGGGACUGAGAUACGGCCCAGACUCCUACGGGAGGCAGCAGUGGGGAAUAUUGCACAAUGGGCGGAAGCCUGAUGCAGCAACGCCGCGUGCGGGAUGACGGCCUUCGAGUUGUAAACCGCUGUCGCCUGUGACGAAGCGUGAGUGACGGUAAUGGGUAAAGAAGCACCGGCUAACUACGUG
rnacentral:rRNA from 1 species